GACGAACGCUGGCGGCGUGCUUAACACAUGCAAGUCGAACGGAAAGGCCCUGCUUUUGUGGGGUGCUCGAGUGGCGAACGGGUGAGUAACACGUGAGUAACCUGCCCUUGACUUUGGGAUAACUUCAGGAAACUGGGGCUAAUACCGGAUAGGAGCUCCUGCUGCAUGGUGGGGGUUGGAAAGUUUCGGCGGUUGGGGAUGGACUCGCGGCUUAUCAGCUUGUUGGUGGGGUAGUGGCUUACCAAGGCUUUGACGGGUAGCCGGCCUGAGAGGGUGACCGGCCACAUUGGGACUGAGAUACGGCCCAGACUCCUACGGGGGGCAGCAGUGGGGAAUAUUGCACAAUGGGCGGAAGCCUGAUGCAGCAACGCCGCGUGCGGGAUGACGGCCUUCGGGUUGUAAACCGCUUUCGCCUGUGACGAAGCGGGAGUGACGGUAAUGAGUAAAGAAGCACCGGCUA
rnacentral:rRNA from 1 species